AGAUGUGCAUAACCCAACAGUGUUCCUUAAUUCUCUUGAGCCACCUGGAAUUCCUCCACAUAAACUUUUUCUGAAGGUAGGAGUCCCAACAAUGCUUCUAAGAAAUUUAGAUCUUCCUAAAUUAUGCAAUGGGACAAGGUUAAUUGUGAAG